rnacentral:rRNA from 1 species
ACGACUCUCGGCAACGGAUAUCUCGGCUCUCGCAUCGAUGAAGAACGUAGCGAAAUGCGAUACUUGGUGUGAAUUGCAGAAUCCCGUGAACCAUCGAGUCUUUGAACGCAAGUUGCGCCCGAAGCCUUCAGGCCGAGGGCACGUCUGCCUGGGCGUCACG